UUGAGGAAGGCUCCCUGGAGGAUCUGCAAGGCUUCCUUGAAUUGGGAUUUGAAGGACUGAUCGGAUCAUUAGUGUGGGGAGGCAAAAAAGGUCAGAGACUCCUCAGGUCAAAGCUCCACAAAAGGGCAGGAGGCUUUACAGAUGAGGACACUGAGAACUGGGCGGGGAAAAUGACUCUCCCGAGUCCCAAGGGAUGGAAUCGAGAUUGGAAACCGGGGCCAGGAGAAAUCAGAAUUAGUCAGCUAACUGUCGGAGAAAGAGCUUCCAUGGCAUGGGGGUGGGGCAAGAGUGCCGGACCUGGUACCCAGAGGGACUCGCACUCCCUUCCUCUGAUGCUGGCUAUCACAGCAGUAUCACCUCGGGCAAGUUUCCGCCGGUAAAAUGGGAUGCUGACGGUACCACGGACUCUCUACAACUGAGGGCACUGUUCUGUGGCCCCCACCUAGCCAGCAAAUGAUCGUCCAACCCCGACUUGAAGAUUUUAAAGCCCAUAGAAGGCAAUUUGAAGAAGCAGCUUGCUGGAGAAGUCAGCCUUGAAUCCAGGAAUACCUGCGUACAGGUCUCUUGUGAGCCAGGCUCUGAGACUCUGGGCAAAUCCAUGCCACCCGCCCAGCCACUGCAAUGGAAAUCCGGCUUUCUGGACUAGAGCUCAGCAGUUGAUGACUUCACAGAAGGGAGAUCACUGCCAGAUGGGAUUCAGCUCAGUUUCCUAGAAUCUCGGGCUCUUCUAGAGGCUACACUCAAGUCUCUCCCCGGUCUGGUUGCCCCCUCCCAGUCAUCCCUCUCCUCCAAAUGAUUUUUCAGUUUUCAUGAGUUUUCAUGAUAUAUUCUUUGCAUUUGCUUAUCUGUAUCCAUGUGGUGUCCUCCUAACUACAAUGUCAGCUAAGUAGGCUGGAAGGAAAAAAGGGAAGG